GCGGGUGUAGCUCAGUGGUAGAGUGUCACCUUGCCAAGGUGAAUGUCGAGGGUUCGAGUCCCUUCGCCCGCU
rnacentral:tRNA from 1 species